CGUAGGUGGCAAGCGUUGUCCGGAUUAUUGGGCGUAAAGCGAGCGCAGGCGGAAAUAAGUCUAAUGUGAAAGCCCUCGGCUUAACCGAGGAACUGCAUCGGAACUGUUUCUUGAGUGCAGAAGAGGAGAGUGGAACUCCAUGUGUAGCGGUGGAAUGCGUAGAUAUAUGGAAGAACACCAGUGGCGAAGGCGGCUCUCUGGUCUGCAACUGACGCUGAGGCUCGAAAGCAUGGGUAGCGAACAGGAUU
rnacentral:rRNA from 1 species